rnacentral:rRNA from 1 species
AUUGAACGCUGGCGGCAGGCCUAACACAUGCAAGUCGAGCGGAUGAAGGGAGCUUGCUCCUGGAUUCAGCGGCGGACGGGUGAGUAAUGCCUAGGAAUCUGCCUGGUAGUGGGGGAUAACGUCCGGAAACGGGCGCUAAUACCGCAUACGUCCUGAGGGAGAAAGUGGGGGAUCUUCGGACCUCACGCUAUCAGAUGAGCCUAGGUCGGAUUAGCUAGUUGGUGGGGUAAAGGCCUACCAAGGCGACGAUCCGUAACUGGUCUGAGAGGAUGAUCAGUCAAACUGGAACUGAGACACGGUCCAGACUCCUACGGGAGGCAGCAGUGGGGAAUAUUGGACAAUGGGCGAAAGGCUGAUCCAGCCAUGCCGCGUGUGUGAAGAAGGUCUUCGGAUUGUAAAGCACUUUAAGUUGGGAGGAAGGGCAGUAAGUUAAUACCUUGCUGUUUUGACGUUACCAACAGAAUAAGCACCGGCUAACUUCGUG